GUGUGUGUGUGUGCAUAUAUAUGCAUCUGUGUGUAUGUGUUGUGUGUGUGUGUGUGUACACACACACACACACACACACACACACACAUAUGUAUAUAUACACACAUAUAUAUGCAUAUAUAUAUAUGUAUAUAUGUGUGUAUAUAUAUACAUAUACAUAUAUAUAUACAUAU